ACGCUGGCGGCGUGCUUAACACAUGCAAGUCGAACGAUGAAGCCCUUCGGGGUGGAUUAGUGGCGAACGGGUGAGUAACACGUGGGCAAUCUGCCCUUCACUCUGGGACAAGCCCUGGAAACGGGGUYUAAUACCGGAUAAYACUUKCMSAGGCAUCUSGGKGGGUUGAAAGCUCCGGCGGUGAAGGAUGAGCCCGCGGCCUAUCAGCUUGUUGGUGAGGUAGAAGCUCACCAAGGCGACGACGGGUAGCCGGCCUGAGAGGGCGACCGGCCACACUGGGACUGAGACACGGCCCAGACUCCUACGGGAGGCAGCAGUGGGGAAUAUUGCACAAUGGGCGAAAGCCUGAUGCAGCGACGCCGCGUGAGGGAUGACGGCCUUCGGGUUGUAAACCUCUUUCAGCAGGGAAGAAGCGAAAGUGAC
rnacentral:rRNA from 1 species